rnacentral:tRNA from 1 species
GCCUGGCUGGCUUAGUCUGUGGAGCCUGUGACUCUUGGUCUUGAGGUUGUGGGUUCGAGCCCCAUGUUGGGUG